rfam:Arabis alpina cultivar Pajares scaff_46347_1_contig_1, whole genome shotgun sequence.
UAUGGCAAAUGAAGAAUUGAUUUUCUAUGCUUAAAACACAGAUUUAACAGUGUUGACAAACAAUCUCCGCUUAUUAUCUGAUGCCAUA